UAUUGGAUCUAGUUGACUAGUAUCUUGUUGAGAAUUUUUGCAUCCAUUUUCAUCAGGGAACCUGGUCUGUAGCUCUCCUUUUUAGUGGGGUCUUUGUCUGGUUUUGGAAGCAAGGUAAUGCUGGCUUCAUAGAAUGUGUUUGGCUU